UGGAUGCACCCGAUUUUACCUGCCCUCUUCUAUGCCUGUGAAAGAGUCAUCAGGUAAUUUCAUGAGAACAACUACCAUUCAGGUAUUGUGAGGUAAGCUAUUGAACUAUAUUGAUUUGGCUCAUUCAGAGUUUCAGAUUGUCAGUUAUUAAUCAAAUACUAUUAUGUACAUGCAAGCAGCAAUUUAUCUAGGAGAUGUGCUCUCUAUUCACAUGAAGAAGCCACAGGGUUUCAAGUACAAGAGUGUACCGCAUCUUUUUUUUGUAAAAUAGCAAGGAUUGCCGCUCCCACAAACAUCCACGUCAGCGAAAGUUUUUUUGGUCGUUCGAUCGUUGAUCAGUGGUUCCCAUUCUCUCCCGUGCAACCAUGUGUAGAUGAUUCCAAGUGCUUCUCUCCUCGCAUCGUCUCCGCGUCUCGAUCCUGCAUACCUCGCGCUCCAUCCUCCUCCCAAACCCCACCCGCCCCCGCUUGCCCACGGCCCCGGCGACAGUCGCUUUGGUCUCCAGUUCCCUCCACCGCCGCUCCAAAGGUCCAGGCAAGCACGCUCCCUCCCCCUCCACCCCCAUCCUCCCCCGUCCAUCCGUAGCUCCGGUGACAGCCGCCAUCGCUUCGGGCUCCAGAUCCCAGCGCCAGCGCCCCAAAGGUCCAAGUAAGCGGAGGCGGCUCUUCCCCUUCCCCCCCAUUCGUUUUCCUUGCUUGGGUUCGUCGUCCCCUCCUCAUUCCCCUUCCCGAUGAGCUCUCUCCCCAUUGCUAGGGUUCGUCGUGCUGGGGUUGGAGUAGACACGGCGGCGGCGAUGGCUCUUCCCCUUCCCCCCUCAUCCGUUUUUCCUUGCUGCCAUUUAGGGUUUAGGGUUGGUUCUUCUACAUUUCAACCUCGAGGUAUCAAUGAUUCUGAGGCAUACGACAUAUUUUUUGUAGUAUGGCAUGUAGCAACUACAAACCUGUUUGGGAUUGCUGUCUUUUGGGUCUGGCUUGCUAGCAAGUACGAGUAGCAUUUGUGUUAGAAAAAUACAAGAAAAAAAAAUCUCUUAAGUUCUCAACUUUUGCUUGAUCUUGUGUGUUAGACUGUUAGUGUUCAUAUGGCGCAUCCCAAAUAUUCCUGUCCUGUAAUUGAACACAGACCUCCCAAAUAUUCCUCCUGUAAUUGAACACAAGAAUAUCUUUAGUUGAUGGUCUGGUCAUGGAGCUCAAAUUUGGUCCAAAAUGAAUUAUGAUACUUACUGUGUACUCUAAAUAUUUAUGUUUAAUUUUUGGAAAAAACUGUUCGUUUCAGACAUGGAUGCACCCGAUUUUACCUGCCCUCUUCUAUGCCUGUGAAAGAGUCAUCAGGUAAUUUCAUGAGAACAACUACCAUUCAGGUAUUGUGAGGUAAGCUAUUGAACUAUAUUGAUUUGGCUCAUUCAGAGUUUUAGAUUGUCAGUUAUUAAUCAAAUACUAUUAUGUACAUGCAAGCAGCAAUUUAUCUAGGAGAUGUGCUCUCUAUUCACAUGAAGAAGCCACAGGGUUUCAAGUACAAGAGUGUACCACAUCUUUUUUUUGUAAAAUACCAAGUCUUGCCUUUCGACUGGUAUCAUUUCUAUUAAUUAUUGCACACAUAUCCAAGAAGUAAUUUAUCUGUGGUUCUUACAGUUUUCCGAUAUAUGCAGGCACCCCUUCUCUAUAACUCUAGCACCAGGAUAUAACGAACUACUUGACUAUGCAUAUCCGCACGCCGGGUGACCGGACAUCCAAACUUUCGAUUCUCUGAGAUUUUGAACUUUGAUGGCAGUGAAAGGGAUCAGGCUCCGAAAACAGGGAGCAAGAAUAUGUGUUGUCUUGCAAGUCCUCUUUCACGAACGAGUUGCUUCUUUUAUUUUUUAAAAACAUCUAAAUAUCCAUUCAAAAUCAUACACAUUACUUCACUUUGUUCUUCAUGUUAUACAGUUCACUAAGUCAAAGGGUCCUUGUGACUCCUGUGUUUCCAUGCUUUACUAUUGAACAAUGAACAUAACUGAUUUGCAAUGAUUUAGAGAAUGUUGUAGGAUUUUCCUCUUCUACCUAAACUAAAUUCACUCCAUCCUUCACAUGUUCAAUUACUCCAUAUGCACAUUUUUUAUAAUAGAUAUAUGAACAUUUUUAUAACAAAUAAAUUUGGCAACAUCAAGUGUAAAAACUUGCAAUGUCGUACUGUCUGCUAACAAAUUGUAAAACUUGCAGUGUCGUCUUAUUUUGUGUCCUCCUUUUCCUUUUUUGGUCCCCGGCACAUGCUUCACAUGAUCUGUUACAAAUUCGUGGUUGGUCAAUCCGUUGUUCCCCACAUAUUUUUUUUAAAACUUCUUUACCGUGAAGAGUCCUUUUCUGUCCUAUUUUAUUUGGUUUUACCCACACUGGUUUCGGUUCCCUGCUUUUCCUCGGUUCCUGUUUUCAAUCCCACUCGAUUAUGCCCAACUUAGUUUGAAUUCACAGUUGUUUUCAAUAUGGUAAGAAAAUGUUUGCUACUUAUUAGAUUGCAGCCACAUUUUCGUCCACAUGCUCUCGCUUCCAGAUUUUGACCCUUUUUCCACGGUUUUCAAUACAGUAAGGAAAUGUUUGCUACUUAUUCCCUGGUGUCCAUUAUCCAAAGUAUGGUUUCUAGGCCAAAUUUACAUAGGAAAGAAGCGAGUAAAAAAGAAGGAAACAAAUCCUUUCAGUUACUUGUUGUUUGAUUUACUACCAUGUCCUUCUAUUCCACAUGUAGGAUCUGUUGUUCUUUUUUUUUCCACAGCCCCCCGGCAUAUGUCUCACUGGAACUUUUACAAGUUUGGGUUUAGUGUUUAUGGUACAGAAAAGGUAUGUUUUUUACACCAUCAUGCUAUUGAUUCUUUGUCACUUUAAAUUGCUAUUGAUGUGUAAAAAAGAGUUGAUUAUAUGUUCUACAUAAAUUGCUAGAAUCCUUUGUGGCUACAAAAGAAUUGAAUCAAUUGAUUAUAUGUUCGUUGAGGAGGUAAACUAAAAUUAGUUUUAAACUGCUUCCAUUCGCACUGGUUGUCUGCUACAUGGUGAGUAGUGAUUUUACAGUUACCUUUCUCGAACUAAGUUUAAAUGUUCCGCGUCUUAUAGGUAUUGUUUGUUUCUACUCUUUUAUCGAAGCACGUGGAGUGAUACCUCUGCACCUCAGUGGCUUUAUCGGCGAGGCUUCGUUGCUGAGGUAAUUAGUAUUAGUUUCCUUCGUGCUGGUUAUUCACUAAUAAACUAAUGUUUGAUGUCGUGUUCGGCCCUAGGAUUCUUACCAGUGCGUCUAUGUGUUCCACCAACAAUCUAAUUAGCACAUACUUAAAUCUACCAUCUAUCCACGCAUUGGAUAUACUGCAUUAUGCACGCUUGCUAGUUUAAAGUGUGAUUUCGUGUACAGAAUACGAUACAGAGCUUCUUAUUUAAAAAUAUUUGUAACUUUAACAAAUUAACUCUUAGAUAUACAACCUAAUGAAAUAUAUUCAAUAGGCUCGAUGCGUUCUAGCACAUUCCGAUGUGCCACGCAGUGUCGAGGUAAAUUCAGUGUACUUACAUGCUUAACUUCUAUAUAUACUAAUGAAGAUAGAUAUCUGUAUACUGUUAAUACCUCUACAACAAAUGGUAAAAACAUGUUUUCCAUGUUAAACACCUACAAAUUCCUCGGUACAAAAGUGCUCUCCCCACUUUGGACUACCAUAGUAAGAUAGCAAUGUUUAUCUUAUCGUUCACAAGUCGUCCACAAAGACAUGGAUCAGCUGACCAAGCUCGAACUACCAUCGCCUCCAAAAAAGUAAGUGUUCAAGUCCUUUUCUGUCCUAUUUUAUUUGGUUUUACCCACACUGGUUUCGGUUCCCUGCUUUUCCUCGGUUCCUGUUUUCAAUCCCACUCGAUUAUGCCUAACUUAGUUUGAAUUCACAGUUGUUUUCAAUAUGGUAAGGAAAUGUUUGCUACUUAUUAGAUUGCAGCCACAUUUUCGUCCACAUGCUCUCGCUUCCAGAUUUUGACCCUUUUUCCACGGUUUUCAAUACGGUAAGGAAAUGUUUGCUACUUAUUCCCUGGUGUCCAUUAUCCAAAGUAUGGUUUCUAGGCCAAACUUACAUAGGAAAGAAGCGAGUAAAAAAAAGAAGGAAACAAAUCCUUUCAGUUACUUGCUGUUCGAAUUACUACCAUGUCCUUCUAUUCGACAUGUAGGAUCUGUUGUUCUUUUUUUUCGACAGCCCCCCUGGCAUAUGUCUCACUGGAACUUUUACAAAUUUGGGUUUAGUGUUUAUGGUACAGAAAAGGUAUGUUUUUUUACACCAUCAAGCUAUUGAUUCUUUGUCACUUUAAAUUGCUAUUGAUGUGUAAAAAAGAGUUGAUUAUAUGUUCUACAUAAAUUGCUAGAAUCCUUUGUGGCUACAAAAGAAUUGAAUCAAUUGAUUAUAUGUUCGUUGAGGAGGUAAACUAAAAUUAGUUUUAAGCUGCUUCCAUUCGCACUGGUUGUCCGCUACAUGGUGAGUAGUGAUUUUACAGUUACCUUUCUCGAACUAAGUUUAAAUGCUCUGCGCCUUAUAGGUACUGUUUGUUUCUGCUCUUUUAUCGAAGCACGUGGAGUGAUACCUCUGCACCUCAGUGGCUUUAUCGGCGAGGCUUCGUUGCUGAGGUAAUUAGCAUUAGUUUCCUUCGUGCUGGUUGUUCACUAAUAAACUAAUGUUUGAUGUCGUGUUCGGCCCUAGGAUUCUUACCAGUGCGUCUAUGUGUUCCACCAACAAUCUAAUUAGCACAUACUUAAACCUGCCAUCUAUCCGUGCAUUGGAUAUACUGCAUUAUGCACGCUUGCUAGUUUAAAGUGUGAUUUAGUGUACAGAAUACGAUACAGAGCUUCUUAUUUAAAAAUAUUUGUAACUAUAACAAAUCAACUCUUAGAUAUACAACCUAAUGAAAUAUAUUCAAUAGGCUCGAUGCGUUCUAGCACAUUCCGAUGUGCCACGCAGUGCAGAGGUAAAUUCAGUGUACUUACAUGCUUAACUUCUAUAUAUACUAAUGAAGAUAGAUAUCUGUAUACUGUUAAUGCCUCUACAACAAAUGGUAAAAACAUGUUUUCCAUGUUAAACACCUACAAAUUCCUCGGUACAAAAGUGCUAUCCCACUUUGGACUACCAUAGUAAGAUAGCAAUGUUUAUCUUAUCGUUCACAAGUCGUCCACAAAGACAUGGAUCAGCUGACCAAGCUCGAACUACCAUCACCUCCAAAAAAGUAAGUGUUGCAAGAUAUUACUUAGAAAAUGAGAACAACGUCUACCCGUCAAUUUCACAGCCGCGACUUCUAUUCCAUACUAAUACAAUAACAAUGCAUAUAUGAUGAAGCAUACCCAGCUUAACAAAAGAGCUGCUGUAUUCUAUGGGUUCAAAAAAUGAAGACUGCUAGCUCACCAUGAAGCACUUGAAGGUAUUGGUUUUUUGCAAGCAUUAGAAGAGCUCCAGCACUUUUUAAUAUAAAAGCCUUUUGUGUACAUAUGAACCCACUGUUGGAGCAUUUCUAAAACUGUAUUGACUUAUGCAACCUCUAGAAACACACUAUUACUGCAUAUUGAGUACGCUACUUAAAUGCUACUUACUAUAUAUUGUAAUUUCA